rnacentral:rRNA from 1 species
GACAGAGGUCCCGAGCGUUAUGCGGAAUCACUGGGCUUAAAGCGUGUGUAGGCGGAUCGUUAAGUCCCUUGUGAAAUCCCACGGCUUAACCGUGGAACGGCUUGGUAUACUGGCGGUCUUGAGCCACUUAGGGGCUACCGGAACAAAUGGUGGAGCGGUGAAAUGCGUAGAUAUCAUUUGGAACGCCAAUGGUGAAAACAGGUAGCUGGGAGUGUGCUGACGCUGAGACACGAAAGCCAGGGGAGCAAACGGG